rnacentral:rRNA from 1 species
AACGUAGGGGGCUAGCGUUGCCCGGAUUCACUGGGCGUAAAGCGGGUGUAGGCGGCUCUUUAAGUCGGAUGUGAAAUCCAGCGGCCCAACCGCUGAAUUGCAUCCGAUACUGGGGAACUUGAGGACGGUAGAGGUCGGUGGAAUAUCCGGUGUACCGGUGAAAUGGACAGAUAUCGGAUGGAACACCAGUGGCGAAGGCGGCCGACUGGGCCGAUCCUGACGCUGAGACCCGAAAGCUAGGGUAGCGAACCGG